GGCAGCAGCAGCCUGCCAAGGGCACAGCAGAAUGGUCAUGUCUUCAUCGCUUGCUCUGCCUCUGCCAGUGCCUGGGGAAAUCAGGUUUGCUGCCGGUGCCAGGGCAGGGAUCAGGGAAAGCAGAGCAGAAGAUCAACUUGGGGUUUUGGCAAACAGUGCAUGUUCAUGGGGCCAAAGAGUGAGAAUAACUUGGUAUCACAGCAGCCAAGGAACAGACACCCACAAUUUGUUAGAAGAAGAGGAACCAGGAGAGGCUCAAAAGUCCUCUAGCUUCUUACUUCAAAAUAAUUUGGUGGGUGAGAAAUUCUCUUAAGAUCAAAUCCUGCUCCUGUCUCAUCAGAAAGGAGAAUCCUGGUCUCCAGCGUUCUAGUUGAAUACCUGGAACUAGUGUAAAACAGUAAGAGACUCGCUGCCUCUGAGUCCUGCUGACUUGGUGUGAAUCAUAUGUGUGCAAAGUUCCCCUUCCUCAUUCUCCUUCUGCUUGAAUUCACAUGGGAAGUUUGAUUCCAGAUUGACUUUGUUUUCAUUUCUCCUGAAUUUCAGUCUUUUUGUGGGGGAUCCAUCCCAGUGCCAUGACCAUCAUUUCCUCAGGCCGCUGAUGCCAGCCUUUGCCAGCCUUUGCCUCGAAGUUCCUUGCAGGGCUUGCUGAGCCCCGAGGGGUGGCAGUGAGAGAGGGAGGCAGCCUGAGCUGCCUUAGGCAGCACUGCCUUUGAGCUGCUGCUGCUUCAGUGCUCAGCCUGACAGAGAAACAAAAUGGAAAUUAUUCAGGAGCAUGAACCAAAGUGGAGGCAUCCCAGAGGCCUUUGGCAGAGGUUUAUAGAUGUCAACUUUUGUGUUUCCUUGGUGCAUGAGUCACUGUGAUUAUGCUUAAAUCCUUAAAAUGCCUUUUAAGCAUUCACAACAGCAUUUUUCCCCUGUUUGUGUGGCUACUUUGAAACACUGACUUCAGGUACACCCAGGCCUUUGCAAAUCAAUGAGAAGCCAGGUUUGACCCAGAAGCUGUUUAGCCAUGUUAGCAGAGUCCAAAACAUGGUCUAAUCUCUCUGGCAGGUUUUAAAAGCUUAAGGUCAGAUUUUUUUUAAGUGGCUUUCCAUUAUAAGAGUGGGUUCUUGUGCAGAUGGAUCAAAAUAGAGGGAGUCUGAGCUUGCAGUUACUUGCAAAGUCAGGCUGACUGUAUCCUAUGAAAUUGCAGUAUAAGAAGCAACAAAUGUAAACAACGUGCCAGAACUUUACUCCAUUUUUCAUUGCUUCUCCUAUUCUGGGGCAGCUGCUACCCUGUCAAAAUAGGAUGUGUGCAGAAGAAAAUACCAAAAAGAAAAUCAAGCAAUGAAUGAGGUAUUCUCAUUAUACUGAAUUUUGUGCUGGAAGAUGGGACACCAUGUACUAGAUCAUGGCAUGAUAUGUAACUUUAAACUUUCUCACUGCCAGUUUUGUUGUGUUAAUAUUUGGGUGCUCUGCUGAGUUGGCACUGCCGGAUGCAGGUUGUUCCUUAUCCAUUACUGGCAGGAAACAUUGCACCAGAAGGGUGGAUACAGGCACCCUGGCUGCUGGGCAUUUGCAAUAGGAGAUAAUUUCCUGAGUGGCAUGAGACAGUGUGGUUUGUAUAUCAUGUAAAAAGCCCAUCUCUUGUGGCAUUUUCCUCUGAUUGCUGAGUCCACUGCAGAAGAGUAAAAACAUAUGACACUUAAAAAUAGGAUAUAUCCUCAACCAUUGCAAACGCCAUCUGUUCUCAAAGAAACAACUGGUAGGAAAAAAUAACCUUGGGUUGAAACCUUGCAUGAAGUUGCCAUUUAAGAUAAGUGGGGUUGGCUUUGUUAUUUUUAUUUUUUUGGAGGUGUGGAGAAGGGCUGUUUGAUGGCAACUGAAAGAAAACAGAUAUGUGGAACUGGAGCGUGCGUGUUACAGACGUGCAGAAAAGUCGUGUCUUGAAGACCUGUUAAAAUUGUGGGACCAAGCAUCACAGUGACACUGGAAGGAACCCAUGCUCUAUUUUAAAUCAGUCCAUGCAGUCUUCAGCAAGGUGUCUGCCCACCACCAGAAGGUGGUUUCUAGAGAAAAUGUCUACAUUCCUAGUCGUAAGCACAUAAGACCUAAUUUUGCAAUUGGACACAGUUCUCUGGUGAAUGGUAUGGCUUCCUCACCCAUUCAGACUCCAGCCAGACUGGUAGUGAGGAGUGAAUCAGUAGCUCAGGGAAUGCUCCAUCCCGCUAUGCUGCUCCCGCAAAGGACACUCACAGCCAUCACCUCUGGUAACAGGAGCAAUGUUUAUGAGCUUUGGCCAUUCCCAGGAGUCAGCCCUGCUUCUUCUGGCCCCGUCAGGCUGUGAUUAAAUGACUGAAGAGAAUUUUGUUUUCACAUUGUGACAAUUUGCUGUUAUCCAUGGAAUUUCAGUAUCUAGUCAUAAUACCACCUACUCCAAGGCUGAUGAAAAUCCUGAAUCCUCACUAGUGGACUUGGUCAUUUAUGCUGUUUUGGAUACCCUUCUGAGAAGUCCAGUGGAACACCUUUAGCAUCUGUCCAUGAUUUCUUUUGGUGCUGACACUGAACGCAAACAGGAGCAACUCACCUCCUUUGCAUGGGCUGAUGGUUUCAGAACAACUGUGGGUUAUAUGCAGCUGCAGUAGCACAUGAAAUCAGCAGGCCUCAGUAGCAAUAUAAAGCCUGUGUCUUGAUAGUCUUGUAUGGAUCAGAAAUUUGAAAAUGGGAUGGCUUCAUUUCAGUGCUUCUGCCCCUGCUCUAUACUAAUGUGAAGAGCAGCUGACUUGUACUUAGGACAUAUGCUAAGAAACUGUGCAUGAGGUAAAGGGAGCACUGCAUGGUGUUUGCUCAAACAGAAUAGUCAUGUUCCAAAGCAGUGUCCUAAUCCUGUCAACCUCACUGUUUUUAUGCGUUCCAAGUGGGACAACAGGGUGAGGUAAGAAAAGGGCAUUUUAAUGAAUAGAUUUGAUAGUGAUAUUUCUGAAUAAUUUCUUUUUUUUGCAUCUCACAGCACAGGAAUAGCUACAGUGAUGUAAUGUUUCUAUUUAGAAUUGUUUUCAAAGUGUGUUUUGAAUUUGGUGUCUGCAGUAUUGAAAAUUUUGCUUUGGAAAUGAGUGCGCCUAAGGUAAAGGCUGUGUGCAUGCAUUUUCAGGCUCUGUUUCUCUGAAUUUGGAAUGCCGUGCUUCUGAUCCUCUUAUCUCUAGUCUGAACAUUAGAAGAUUUGAAGGGUACUAGCUUGUGCUCAGCUUUUGUGACAAGAAGAUGAGGGAUGAGACAAAUCUACUAAACACAUUCUCUGCUUUGUGGGGGAAUAAGGCAAUAACCUGCUUGCCAGUGUUUGGUCCUAGUAGACCUAACUCCUGAGGUAAAGAGCUUUUGUUAUUUAACCCAGGGAAUGAAUAAUUCUUUUGUGAUGUGCUGCCACAGCACAUUUCUGUGUUCUGGCCUUAACUGUGCAUCAGCAAAAUCUGGCUGCAUUGCCCCACAAUAGAGCAAAAAACCACUGCGACCUAGAGGGUAAAACUCCAUGGAAGCAUGAGGAGUGAUGUGGCUGGCAUAGUCCACAGUGGUGGGAGAGCAAGCUUCUUAUUUAAUAAGUGACAAGACAAAAAACUCAGUUUUGCAGGAAACUUUUUUUUUUUUUGUCAAACUCUUUCUACUGGAAGAGUGUGACAAAUUUACCAGUCCACAUACAGGGCAAUAACACCAAGCCCUGCUUGAAACAAAGUGUGCUAUUCUUGCAACACAACUCAUGCUCCUAGAUUUGAGCCUUGCAUGUGGGUCAACUAUAGUUAACAUUUUAAUACUCUAGCAACAUUUCAAACACACUCUGUUUUUGUCUACCAGCUUUUUCAUUUCUUGGCACUCUUGAUCUUCCAUGGUGGAAGUUCAAGAUCUCUCUUAAGUUGAAAUAAAAUCUUCCAUACUCUGAAAGGUUAGAUCAGCCUUAUUAUUAUUAAUUUUUUUCCAGCUGUCAAGCUUAAUGCCUUUUUUAAAGCAUCCUCCUACUUUAAGGCAAAGUUGUGAAAAGUGAAUAUGUAACAGUGCAUAUAUAUUUAUUGUGCAUGUAUUUGUUUGUGAGAGACCAGGACUGAAAAUUAAAUUCUGUUACCCCCUAAAUCUGAUGCAAGUUCAGCUCUUCUCACAGCUUUAGAUCUACCUGUGAAGUUUGUAGCAUUGUGCAUCUUUUUAAUGGGCUAAAUGAAAACUCUGGUUUGGGGCAAAACUAACUUUUGUCCUAAAACAUAUGAGUUGGCUUUUAAUACAUUCCCAUCAUGGGCUCCUGUGUCUGCAUCCUGUCAUAUUCUCUUCUGUGACUUCCAACUCAUGUUUUCCAUUCUGCCUAAUAUUUAAACAAGUUCAUUAGAUGUGGCCAUGCUUUAAAAAUAUGAACUGCAUUUUUCAGGCUAUGGACCAACAUGUUAAAAACCAUCUGUGAUAUCAAUUGCUCAACUUAUGCUUUCUGAAGAGCCGGCUUUACUUAAGGCAAAUGCUCUGCACUUGCAGAAAAUAAAGGUGGUCAUUAAGUACCUCAACUCACUUUUGAAUAUUUCAGCAAAGAUUCUAUCAUUGCAGCUUUUAUUGUAUCUAACCCUCUGGUUCUUUUGUAAAUGUGACAUGGUUAAGUGCUUCUGUCAUUCAUCCCAGUUAUUUGUGAGCCCAGAUGUGGAGUUAGGUAACUCGCUUCAAACACAUGACUGAAAACAGGUGAUGAGAGUGGUGAGUGAAAACUAAAUGAAAUUUCACAGCCUGAGGCUUAGGCAAAAUAUCCCUUUGGUUGUUCAGGUUAAUGUCAUUACCAGGGGAGACUUCUUCCUGAAGCAUUUAUUCCAGACAUGUUUCUUCAGCCUUCUGCUCUGUUUGGCUGACUGUUUGCAGUGUAUCUUUGCUCUUUUCUACAUAAAUAAGUUGAAUUGCCAGAUAUAGAAUUAGGAAUUAUCUUGGGCUAUUGAAAUGGUCUCUAAAGAAGGUAAAAAUACUUCUGAGAGAAAAAAAAAAAGUAAUUCCAGGUUGGAUUUUUUAAGCCACACUGGUUUGGCCAUGCUGAGGGUUACCUCAAAGUGUAGCUGUGUAAAAUGCAGUGAAGCUGACAUGAAAGUGAAAGGGAAAAUGAAUGCUGCACAAAAACUCUGUGUUUACAAAGUCACCUUCUGCACUGCAGGGACACUUUAAAGAGGAAUAUUAAGAAUGAUAAACCUUAGCUGUAGAGCUCUUCUGAAUUUUAGUCCUUUUAAACAUAUUUGGCUUUCAGUACCUUAUGCCAUAUGAGAACAACAAAGGACUCCUCAAAACAGCAAUACAAAAUGCUGCCAGCUUGAGGUAAAAAUUCUCAAAGACUUUCUUAUUUAUUGCUCAUUAUGUCCUGUUCCUGCCCUCAGCCACUAUCAGUGGUGGGAAUCUUGAUUUUACCAUUGAAGCAGAUGGGCUUUCUGCAAGUCACUGAGGAGUUCUACUCUGUUAUUUUGUUCAGAGAAAAAAAAAAAAAAAAAAAAA
rnacentral:lncRNA from 1 species